AGUCGAACGCGAAAGGGGGGCAACUCCCCGGUAGCGUGGCGCACGGGUGAGUAACACGUGGGUAAUCUGCCCUCGAGUGGGGAAUAACCUCGCGAAAGCGGGGCUAAUACCGCAUAACAUCUUCUGAUCCUCGGAUCGGGAGCUCAAAGGUGACCUCCACUUGUAAGUUGCCGCUUGAGGAGGAGCCCGCGUCCCAUUAGCUAGUUGGUAAGGUAACGGCUUACCAAGGCUUUGACGGUUAGCUGAUCUGAGAGGUUGAUCAGCCACACUGGAACUGAGACACGGUCCAGACUCCUACGGGAGGCAGCAGUAGGGAAUAUUGCGCAAUGGAGGAAACUCUGACGCAGCGACGCCGCGUGGGUGAUGAAGGUCUUCGGAUCGUAAAGCCCUGUCGGAUGGGAAGAAAAACACGGAGGGUAAUAUUCUACGUGCKUGACCGKUACCAUUAAAGKAAGCUCCGGCUAACUUCGUUCCAGCAGUCGCGGUAAUACGAAGGGGGCCAGCGUUGUUCGGAAUCAAUGGGCGUAAAGCGCGUGUAGGCGGUCUAUUAAGUCGAUUGUGAAAUCCCUGGGCUCAACCGAGGAAGUGCAUUCGAAACUAAUAAACUAGAAGAUGGUAGAGGAUGGUGGAAUUCCAGGUGUAGAGGUGAAAUUCGUAGAUAUCUGGAGGAAUACCGGUGGCGAAGGCGGCCCAUCUGGGCCAUUCUUGACGCUGAGACGCGAAAGCGUGGGUAGCAAACAGGAUUAGAUACCCUGGUAGUCCACGCCGUAAACGAUGGGUACUAGUGUGUUGUGGGAAUUGACCCCCACAGUGCCGCAGCUAACGCAUUAAGUACCCCGCCUGGGAAGUACKGCCGCAAGGUUAAAACUCAAAGGAAUUGACGAGGGCCCGCCACAAGCGGUGAAGCAUGUGGUUUAAUUCGAUGCAACGCGAAGAAACCUUACCUKKGUUGGAAGAUGCCGGACAGGAGUAGAGAUAUUCCCUUCUAGCAAUAGACCGGUAGUUAGGUGCUGCAUGGCUGUCGUCAGCUCGUAUCGUGAGAUGUCGGGUUAAGUCCCUUAACGAGCGCAACCCCUAUCCCUAGUUGCCAUCAUUCAGUUGGGCACUCUAUGGAGACCGCCGGCGUUAAGCCGGAGGAAGGCGGGGAUGACGUCAAGUCCUCAUGGCCCUUAUGUCCAGGGCUACACACGUGCUACAAUGGCUGGUACAAAGCGUUGCCAACCUGCAAAGGGGAGCUAAUCGCAGAAAGCCUAGUCUCAGUUCGGAUAGAAGUCUGCAAUUCGACUUCUUGAAGCUGGAAUCGCUGGUAAUCGCGGAUCAGAACGCCGCGGUGAAUACGUUCCCGGGCCUUGCACACACUGCCCGUCACA
rnacentral:rRNA from 1 species